rnacentral:ncRNA from 1 species
GCAGACCUACGGGGCUGCUUCACAUUGCGGACCUACGGGGCCGCCACAUACACGGAAGACAGUAA